AUGAAGAACGUAGCGAAAUGCGAUAAGUAAUGUGAAUUGCAGAAUUCAGUGAAUCAUCGAAUCUUUGAACGCACAUUGCGCCCGCCAGUAUUCUGGCGGGCAUGCCUGUUCGAGCGUCAUUACAACCCUCAGGCCCCCGGGCCUGGCGUUGGGGAUCGGCGGAGCCCCCCGUGGGCACACGCCGUCCCCCAAAUGCAGUGGCGGUCCCGCCGCAGCUUCCAUCGCGUAGUAGCUAACACCUCGCGACUGGAGAGCGGCGCGGCCACGCCGUAAAACACCCAACUCUUCUGAAGUUGACCUCGAAUCAGGUAGGAAUACCCGCUGAACUUAAGCAUAUCAAUAAGCGGAGGA
rnacentral:misc_RNA from 1 species